rnacentral:rRNA from 1 species
UACGUAGGGUGCAAGCGUUGUCCGGAAUUAUUGGGCGUAAAGAGCUCGUAGGCGGUUUGUCGCGUCUGCUGUGAAAUCCCGAGGCUCAACCUCGGGUCUGCAGUGGGUACGGGCAGACUAGAGUGCGGUAGGGGAGAUUGGAACUCCUGGUGUAGCGGUGGAAUGCGCAGAUAUCAGGAGGAACACCAAUAGCGAAGGCAGCUCGCUGGGACGUUACUGACACUGAGAUGCGAAAGCGUGGGGAGCAAACAGG